rnacentral:ncRNA from 2 species
UCUUCAUCAACCAAUAUAGGUUUUACUUAAUUGUAGAUUAAUAGGGAAUCAUGUGCAAAUCAUGAGCUGUCGCGCAACUGUAAGUAACUAUAUAGUUUUUAUCAGUAUAAAAUCCACUGUUCGCCAUAAUAAUCGAAUGGGAAGGAAGAUAAAAAUGUUACAAGUCAGGAGACCUGCCUACUAUUGAAUUGACUA